rnacentral:rRNA from 1 species
AUUCCGGUUGAUCCUGGCGGAGGUCAUUGCUAUCGGGGUCCGAUUUAGCCAUGCUAGUUGCACGAACUCAUAUUCGUAGCAGAUAGCUCAGUAACACGUGGCCAAACUACCCUAUGGAGAAUGAUAACCUCGGGAAACUGAGGAUAAUAAUUCAUAAGGCUCUCACCCUGGAAUGGAGAGAGCUGGAAACGCUCCGGCGCCAUAGGAUGUGGCUGCGGCCGAUUAGGUAGACGGUGGGGUAACGGCCCACCGUGCCAAUAAUCGGUACGGGUUGUGAGAGCAAGUGCCCGGAGACGGAAUCUGAGACAAGAUUCCGGGCCCUACGGGGCGCAGCAGGCGCGAAAACUUUACACUGCACGACAGUGCGAUAAGGGGACCCCGAGUGCGAGGGCAUANAGCCCUCGCUUUUCUGUACCGNANGGUGGNACAGGAACAANAGCUGGGCA